rnacentral:rRNA from 1 species
AGAGUUUGAUCCUGGCUCAGGACGAACGCUGGCGGCGUGCCUAACACAUGCAAGUCGAGCGGAGACAGUGAGUAGCUUGCUAUGAGCUGUUUUAGCGGCGGACGGGUGAGUAACGCGUGAGCAACCUUUCCCAGACAGGGGAAUAACACACCGAAAGGUGUACUAAUACCGCAUAAGACCACGGAAUCACAUGGUUCUGAGGUAAAAGAUUUAUCGGUUUGGGGUGGGCUCGCGUCCGAUUAGGUAGUUGGUGAGGUAACGGCCCACCAAGCCGACGAUCGGUAGCCGACCUGAGAGGGUGAUCGGCCACAUUGGGACUGAGACACGGCCCAAACUCCUACGGGAGGCAGCAGUGGGGAAUAUUGGGCAAUGGAGGAAACUCUGACCCAGCAACGCCGCGUGGAGGAAGAAGGUUUUCGGAUCGUAAACUCCUGUCCUUGGAGACGAGUAGAAGACGGUAUCCAAGGAGGAAGCCCCGGCUAACUACGUGCCAGCAGCCGCGGUAAUACGUAGGGGGCAAGCGUUGUCCGGAAUAAUUGGGCGUAAAGGGCGCGUAGGCGGCUCGGUAAGUCUGGAGUGAAAGUCCUGCUUUUAAGGUGGGAAUUGCUUUGGAUACUGUCGGGCUUGAGUGCAGGAGAGGUUAGUGGAAUUCCCAGUGUAGCGGUGAAAUGCGUAGAGAUUGGGAGGAACACCAGUGGCGAAGGCGACUAACUGGACUGUAACUGACGCUGAGGCGCGAAAGUGUGGGGAGCAAACAGGAUUAGAUACCCUGGUAGUCCACACUGUAAACGAUGAAUGCUAGGUGUAGGGGGUAUCGACCCCUUCUGUGCCGCAGUCAACACAAUAAGCAUUCCGCCUGGGGAGUACGGCCGCAAGGUUGAAACUCAAAGGAAUUGACGGGGGCCCGCACAAGCAGCGGAGCAUGUGGUUUAAUUCGACGCAACGCGAAGAACCUUACCAGGUCUUGACAUCCACUUAAACUUACAGAGAUGUAAGGUGUGCUUGCACAAAGUGAGACAGGUGGUGCAUGGUUGUCGUCAGCUCGUGUCGUGAGAUGUUGGGUUAAGUCCCGCAACGAGCGCAACCCUUAUCUUCAGUUACUAACGCGUGAAGGUGAGGACUCUGAAGAGACUGCCGGGGACAACUCGGAGGAAGGUGGGGACGACGUCAAAUCAUCAUGCCCCUUAUGACCUGGGCUACA